UGUCUCUCAUUCCUUGCGCUACUAUCUUAAAUAAUAAAGUAGAGUUUUGUCUCUCAUUCCUUGCGCCACGUCAUCAGGUAGAGGAGGGCAAAUUCUGACACGUGGCACUCCCAAAUAAACGAACUGGGCUUUUAUUAAAUUUUGUUAUUAAGCCCAGAAUUAUGUCAAGUCCAAAAUUAUGUGACUAGGGUUAUUCUUCUUCGUCGUUCUUCUUCCCUGCCUCUUCGUUUCCUUUUCCCUGCCUCUUUGCUCUGACAUUUAUUCUGAGUUUUCCAUUCAUUUGCUCCUUCAUCACCAAGUCUGAGUUAUAGGUGAGAAGUAGAGUUUUGUCUCUCAUUCCUUGCGCUACUAUCUUAAAUAAUAAAGUAGAGUUUUGUCUCUCAUUCCUUGCGCCACGUCAUCAGGUAGAGGAGGGCAAAUUCUGACACGUGGCACUCCCAAAUAAACGAACUGGGCUUUUAUUAAAUUUUGUUAUUAAGCCCAGAAUUAUGUCAAGUCCAAAAUUAUGUGACUAGGGUUAUUCUUCUUCGUCGUUCUUCUUCUUCCCUGCCUCUUCGUUUCCUUUUCCCUGCCUCUUUGCUCUGACAUUUAUUCUGAGUUUUCCAUUCAUUUGCUCCUUCAUCACCAAGUCUGAGUUAUAGAUAAGGAUGAGAAUUAGGAGAAGCACAAGCCAAGACCAAAACACUAAGAGCAUCGAACUUGAAGCUUGGAUUUUUUUUGUUACCUUUCUUAAGGUUCACACAACAACUUAAAGGAGAGCCAGUGCCACAAGAACUGCUAGAUAGACUGUGCGAGCUCAUAGCUGUUCUUGCUGGUGGUGCAGCUGCAAAAUAUGAAGCACUGAAGGAAGAAGUAUUAGCAAUGAGCCUUCUCGUAGACAAUCCCCUAGCUAGCUGACAAUAACAAACAGCUACCCGGAAGAUGUUAUUGGUGAGCUAAGUACAAUCAGAAGAACGUUCAACACGAUGGCAAAUACCGGAAAAUCGUAUAAUGGCAACUCUACGUAUAGAAAGGGAUGUUACUCUGUGUGUUAGGGACUGGCUCUUGCAUUCCAUAGAAAAUUGGAGAGCUAUGAGUCGGAGCCCAAUGUUGUGCUAGCUACCAGCAUAAUUUCCAAGACAGUUGGAGGUUCAUCCAAAGAUUGAUAAGAUUGGGAGAAAGGGUUUAUGCAAAACCUUGGGCUGCAAGAAACUAUCAGUAUAAGCAAGCAAGAACGCUGCACAGAACCAGAUGCUUCCACUGAGAUUGAUGGUUCAAAUAAUAUUCUGGAGCUAGCACGAGCUGCGAUACCCAGAACAACUAACACUGUUACCAAGAAGGAAACAACAGUUUUGAGAAGAAGCUUUGCAACAAAAAGAGAAGAAGACGAUGGAGAAAGAGUUGAAAUUCAACCUAACGAUGAUUUCAGAGCAUCACUCCUUUGAGGUUUAUGGCUUUGUGUUUGAUCCCAAGGCAACCUAUGAAAGCUAUGGGUCUGAGCUGAAAGUAGUGUUACUCACUAGCAUCAAUUCUAAAGUUGUUGGAGCUAAGAAAACUGAAUAUAUUGUCACAUGUCUUGCAUAUCUAUACCUAACGACGACCGCUAUACGUGGAUAUGUUUUGCUUUAAUAAAAAAAACACUACUAUAAACUAAAUUUCCAUGAUG